AUUGAACGCUGGCGGCAUGCCUUACACAUGCAAGUCGAACGGCAGCGGACCUUCGGGUGCCGGCGAGUGGCGAACGGGUGAGUAAUGUAUCGGAACGUACCUUUCAGUGGGGGAUAACGUAGCGAAAGUUACGCUAAUACCGCAUAUUCUGUGAGCAGGAAAGCAGGGGAUCGCAAGACCUUGCGCUGAUUGAGCGGCCGAUAUCAGAUUAGCUAGUUGGUGAGGUAAAGGCUCACCAAGGCGACGAUCUGUAGCGGGUCUGAGAGGAUGAUCCGCCACACUGGAACUGAGACACGGUCCAGACUCCUACGGGAGGCAGCAGUGGGGAAUUUUGGACAAUGGGGGCAACCCUGAUCCAGCCAUGCCGCGUGAGUGAAGAAGGCCUUCGGGUUGUAAAGCUCUUUCGGCCGGGAAGAAAUCGCAUGGGCUAAUACCCUGUGUGGAUGACGGUACCGGAAUAAGAAGCGCCGGCUAACUACGUGCCAGCCGCCGCAGUAAGAC
rnacentral:rRNA from 1 species